rnacentral:rRNA from 1 species
CCUACGGGAGGCUGCAGUGGGGAAUAUUGGACAAUGGGGGGAACCCUGAUCCAGCGACGCCGCGUGAGUGAAGAAGUAUUUUGGUAUGUAAAGCUCUAUCAGCAGGGAAGAAAGAAAUGACGGUACCUGACUAAGAAGCCCCGGCUAACUACGUGCCAGCAGCCGCGGUAAUACGUAGGGGGCAAGCGUUAUACGGAUUUACUGGGUGUAAAGGGAGCGUAGACGGCGAUGCAAGUCUGAAGUGAAAGGCGGGGGCCCAACCCCCGGACUGCUUUGGAAACUGUAUGGCUGGAGUGCAGGGGAGGUAAGUGGAAUUCCUAGUGUAGCGGUGAAAUGCGUAGAUAUUAGGAGGAACACCAGUGGCGAAGGCGGCUUACUGGACUGUAACUGACGUUGAGGCUCGAAAGCGUGGGGAGCAAACAGGAUUAGAUACCCUUGUAGUC